AAACAAGAUUCGGGGUAUUCCAAGGGUGUUAAUAAACCUUCGCGAAGGGAGAACCGGCGCUUUUCAAGCUUUUCGUCGUACAACUUGACUUGUUUUUUGUACUCUCGGUAAUUGUUUAACGCUCCCUCGUUUUAUCCCGACCGUGUUGUGCGGUUUUCUUUUUCCUUAUUCACGGCAACUUUGCGCGAAACUUUGCGAAGCUGUUCUCAGCAGAAGCCAAAAUCUCUGGGGGUCGUCGAGCUCCGACACUUGUAAAAAGACGCUUAGAGCAAUUUACUUCCGGCGAAAGAUUCUCACCCGUUUUACAUUUAUUCGACAGUCCCCUCGAGAUUUACCGGGAUUAGAUAAAACUUGAAAGAAACAUUUCCUCCGGUUAAAUUGAGCGACGACACUGAACACCGCGUGGCAAAGAUCAGCGCUCCGCAUAUAGGCCGGCAUCGAGCCGACGGUAAAGCUCGCAACGGCGUGCGUCGCCUUGACGAAAAUAUCGCCGAAAGCGAGACGGAAGAAAAGAGAGAGAAAGAGAAACAGAGAGUGGACGACGUGUUCGGAAAGCUCGUCUAUGUCUGUACAAUGUUUGCAUUAGACAGUGUGCUUUCAAUGUUGAACCGGUGUGCGUUUCGUCAAGUUUAAAAGCCGCAAGCUCCCGAUUUCGAUUACCAGUCACGCUUAUACGCGUUUAAAAAAUGUAACUUGACCGGGUUUUUUUUCCUCACGAUCUUUUAAUCCGCUUCAACCAGUCAGCGCGCUGCAUGAGAAUUUGCAAGAUUUCACAAAUAGAACGGGUAUUGGCAAUGAAAGUAUUCAUAGCAUGGAAACGGUACGGACGACGUAUCUUUGCGUCUUCUCCCGAUGUCAAGCGGCGACGAGAUUUAGCCACGUUCUAUUCUACGCUUGACGUGCGGUUGCGGUAAGAGUGUGCGAGGGUCUGGAAAUAACUCUAGGGAUUAAAAGAUGGCGACGUGGAGAACCGGCUGGAGACAAAUGAGAGAGUAACAAAUGAAGAUACAGAAACAGCAAUAACGUUUUAAAACGAAAAGCUCGGUUUUUCCGAGGUGACUAAAUGUCUCGAGAGUGAAAAAUUUUUCGUCGUUGUGAACUAAUCGCGACAAUGAAUUGGCGAUCGGCAAGAGAGAACGUUUGGAGGUCACCGUUGAACUGGUGAGAGAGAGAGAAAAGUAGAUGGUCGGAGGCGGAGAGAAUGGUAGAAACAAGUGCGUGUAGAGUGAUAAACCGUUAACGUCAUCGAUUCUAGUCGAGUGAUCCGAUCGUCUGUCGGUUCUGCUGCAGCUCCUGAUUUAUCAACAAGGCGGACCUGCUUCCGUGACGAGUUUCCUUUCCUUACAUCGGCACCCCGACAUCGUGUACCAGAAAGAACACCACCACUAGAGUAUGCCAAACACUAUCACCUGGUUUCAGAAAGCUGCGGCAACAACGCCGGGAGAAGUGUAUACGAGUGGGAUGAGGCAAAAAAAAAAAAAAAAUCAACGGAGCUUCAACGAGGGAAGUUUAGGCGACUUUUUUUA
rnacentral:misc_RNA from 1 species